AUUGAACGCUGGCGGCGUGCCUAACACAUGCAAGUCGAGCGGUAACAGGUGUAGCAAUACAUGCUGACGAGCGGCGGACGGGUGAGUAACGCUUGGGAAUCUGCCUAUUAGUGGGGGACAACCCGGGGAAACUCGGGCUAAUACCGCAUACGCUCUACGGAGGAAAGCCGGGGACCGCAAGGCCUGGCGCUAAUAGAUGAGCCCAAGUCGGAUUAGCUAGUUGGUAGGGUAANGGCCUACCAAGGCGACGAUCCGUAACUGGUCUGAGAGGACGACCAGUCACACCGGAACUGAGACACGGUCCGGACUCCUACGGGAGGCAGCAGUGGGGAAUAUUGGACAAUGGGCGAAAGCCUGAUCCAGCGACGCCGCGUGGGUGAAGAAGGCCUGCGGGUUGUAAAGCCCUUUCAGUGGGGAAGAAAAGCCUCGACCUAACACGUCGGGGUCUUGACGUAACCCAUAGAAGAAGCACCGGCUAACUCUGUGCCAGCAGCCGCCGU
rnacentral:rRNA from 1 species